rnacentral:rRNA from 1 species
AGUGAACGCUGGCGGUAGGCCUAACACAUGCAAGUCGAACGGCAGCACAGUAAGAGCUUGCUCUUACGGGUGUCGAGUGGCGGACGGGUGAGGAAUACAUCGGACUCUACUUUUUCGUGGGGGAUAACGUAGGGAAACUUACGCUAAUACAGCAUACGACCUACGGGUGAAAGCAGGGGAUCUUCGGACCUUGCGCGAUUGAAUGAGCCGAUGUCGGAUUAGCUAGUUGGCGGGGUAAAGGCCCACCAAGGCGACGAUCCGUAGCUGGUCUGAGAGGAUGAUCAGCCACACUGGAACUGAGACACGGUCAAGACUCCUACGGGAGGCAGCAGUGGGGAAUAUUGGACAAUGGGCGCAAGCCUGAUCCAGCCAUACCGCGUGGGUGAAGAAGGCCUUCGGGUUGUAAAGCCCUUUUGUUGGGAAAGAAAAGCAGCAGGUUAAUACCCCGCUGUUCUGACGGUACCCAAAGAAUAAGCACCGGCUAACUUCGUG